UACACACCGCCCGUCACACCAUGGGAGUUGGUUUUACCUUAAGACGGUGUGCCAACCAGCAAUGGAGGCAGCCGGCCACGGUAAGGUCAGCGACUGGGGUG
rnacentral:rRNA from 1 species